UACGUAGGGUGCUAGCGUUGUCCGGAAUCAUUGGGCGUAAAGAGCGUGUAGGCGGUCCGGUAAGUCCGCUGUGAAAGUCGGGGGCUCAACCCUCGAAUGGCGGUGGAUACUGUCGGGCUAGAGUGCGGAAGAGGCGAGUGGAAUUCCUGGUGUAGCGGUGAAAUGCGCAGAUAUCAGGAGGAACACCUAUUGCGAAGGCAGCUCGCUGGAACGUAACUGACGCUGAGACGCGAAAGCGUGGGGAGCAAACAGG
rnacentral:rRNA from 1 species